rnacentral:lncRNA from 1 species
GCAUGUAAGUCUUUGUGAGGGAGGUAUCCAGAGAGGCUAAUGGAAGAGACAGGCUUUGGGAUUUAUUUGCAGAGAGGUUAGGCAUUCAGACAUGUGGAAAGAGAGAUGAAAGGAAAGUGCACCUGAGGCUGAACAAGUGACUAAAGGAGAAGCCACUGUGCCUGUCGAAAGAACAAUGAAUAAUCCAGAAUUGAUAGAUAAGUAAGACUGGGGAAGGAAGAGAAAGGAAGACACAGCCUCUGAGAGCCGGAUGAAGACACAAAUGGGAUGGAGGCUGCGGCUGUUAAACCAUCAGGACUCAGCGGCUGUUAAACCAUCAGGACUCAGCAAUUAUUUCAUGUGGAGACAAGUGAUGGCAAAGCCAAAAGGCCACGGGUGUUGAGCUGUUGACGAGAAACUGAAAGUGCCAUUGUGUUUAUACAGGAAGCUGCCAUUAGUAGGGAUUUGAAAAAGCAAGAGGAGAGGAUGAGUUUAGUGGGGAGUUCUUACACUUCAGGUGCUAGUGGAUACCACCAAGUCAAUAUUGAGUAGCAGGAAACCAGGGCCUGAUGUUCCGUCAGGCCAUCAGGGCGGAGACAUUGUGGAGAGGAAGUUUUGAGGCUGUGAGAUUAGGAGAGAAGCAUGGAGUGUAGAGCAGGAACUAGGCCUCUCUUUACCCAAAAUCCAAAACCCCACUUAUGCCAGACACACUCAAUACUUUCUGCUGGGAUCCUCAAUUCUCAUAAAGUUUUCAUAAUAAGGCCGGGCGGGGUGGCUUAUGCCUGUAUUCCCAGCACUUUGGGAGGCCGAGGCGGGCGGAUCACCUGAGGUCAGGAGUUCAAGACGAGUCUGGCCAACAUGGUAAAAACCUGUCUCUACUGAAAAUACAAAAAUCAGCCGGGCUUGGUGGUAGGCGCCUACAGCUAGUCGGGACGCUGAGGCAUGGGAAUCGCUUGAACCCAGGAGGCAGAGGUUGCAGUGAGCCAAGAUCAUGCCACUGCACACCAGCCUGGGGGAUACAGCAAGACUCUGUCACAAUAAAAAAAACAAAAAGUUUUCAUAAA